GAUGAACGCUGGCGGCGUGCCUAAUACAUGCAAGUCGAGCGCAGCGGGGACGGGUGAGUAACACGUUGAUAACCUCCUAUAAGACUGGGAUAACUUCGGGUAACCGGAGCUCAACCUGAUACUUUUACGUUGAUCCGCGCUGCAUUAGCUAGUUGGUAAGGUAAGGGCUUACCAAGGCAACGAUGCAUAGCCGACCUGAGAGGGUGAUCGGCAAAACUGGAACGGAGACACGGUCCAGACUCCUACGGGAGGCAGAAGUAGGGAAUCUUCCGCAAUGGGCGAAAGCCUGACGCAGCAACGCCGCGUGAGUGAAGAAGGUCUUCGGAUCGUAAAACUCUGUUAUUAGGGAAGCGGUACCUAAUCAGAAAGCCACGGCUAACUCCGUGCCAGCAGCCGCGGUAAUAC
rnacentral:rRNA from 1 species